rnacentral:piRNA from 1 species
UUCCUGAAUAACUGUCAUGGGCAGUUGGGA